rnacentral:lncRNA from 1 species
UGUACUUUCUUUUUGCAUGACUGUCUUUUGGUGGGAUGGGUGUCUAUCCAAAAUGUGGCAGCCUUUCGAAGGAUUCUAAAGGAGUACUGUGGUGCCUUUAGAUAGAAGAUAAACCUUCUUAAAUUAGCAGUGCACUUCAACCCAAAAACUAGUGCUAGUAGAGAUAGGCAAUCAGGAAGAUUCUAGGCAUCACAGAGCAAAUUGGAGCCUAGCACUACC